CAGGAGUGAAGACUGCCGCCUUGUCCUGCCUGCCAUCUGCCCCAUAUGGUGGGGUGUCGCUCCAGGACUUUGCUUCAGACAGGUCCAGACUCUGAACUUAUGACUGAGUCACAGGAAGAGAGUGCUGAACUCAGAAGUGGUGGGCAUCAGAGGCUAUGGUCUUCCCUGCAGUGUUGAAGAAAACAAAGGGCAUUUCAACAUAUCUCAUUAAUAAGGGAUUGGAACAGGAGAGGAAGAUCAUGGCAGGUUCCACUCUAAUAGCCAGCCAAAUGCACAGCCAUUAGAUGGUUGGAAACUGGAUUCAUGAGUCACCACGUGGAGGAGAACCUCCUGACCAGGACUCUGCAUGAGAGAGAAAUAAACAUUGAUUGGUUUACACUUCAUUAGCUGGAGCUAUUCCUAUGGCCACACCUACUUCAAGACAGCUGGGAAGUCAGCCUCCCAUGAGUCAAAGAAGGAGAGGAGAACCAGUUAUGGGGCUCCCAUGCUAGCCUGGCAUGAGGAAAACUUCUUAAAUGGGUUUGGCCUCCUGCCCACGCAGACCAUGAGUAUGUGAUUACCUCCCACCAGCCUUCACGCAGGCUUAUUUGGCAUUGACUCUGGGGGGCUGAAUAGGAAA